rnacentral:rRNA from 1 species
AGAGGGUGCAAGCGUUAAUCGGAAUUACUGGGCGUAAAGCGUGNGCAGGCGGUUUGUUAAGCGAGAUGUGAAAGCCCCGGGCUCAACCUGGGAAUUGCAUUUCGAACUGGCAAACUAGAGUCUUNUAGAGGGGGGUAGAAUUCCAGGUGUAGCGGUGAAAUGCGUAGAGAUCUGGAGGAAUACCGGUGGCGAAGGCGGCCCCCUGGACAAAGACUGACGCUCAGGCACGAAAGCGUGGGGAGCAAACAGGAUUAGAUACCCUGGUAGUCCACGCCGUAAACGAUGUCUACUCGGAGUUUGGUGUCUUGAACACUGGGCUCUCAASUAACGCAUUAAGUAGACCGCC